AUGCGAGUCGAGAGGGUUCGGCCCUCGGCAGACCGCUCAGUAACACGCGGAUAACCUGCCCUUGGGUGGAGGAUAAGCUCGGGAAACUGAGUAUAAUACUCCAUAGGCCAUCUAUGCUGGAACGCUUGAUGGUCGAAAGCUCAGGCGCCCAAGGAUGGGUCUGCGGCCUAUCAGGUCGUAGUUGGUGUAACGGACCAACUAGCCUUCGACGGGUACGGGCCUUGAGAGAGGUUGCCCGGAGAUGGACUCUGAGACAUGAGUCCAGGCCCUACGGGGCGCAGCAGGUGCGAAAACUUCGCAAUGUGGGAAACCACGACGAGGGGAGUCCAAGUGCUUGCACUAUGUGUAGGCUGUUUCUGUGCCUAAAAAGCACGGAGAGUAAGGGCUGGGUAAGACGGGUGCCAGCCGCCGCGGUAAUACCCGCAGCCCGAGUGGUGGUCGCUAUUAUUGGGCCUAAAACGUCCGUAGCCUGCCCGGUAAAUUCUUGGGGAAAUCGGCCAGCUUAACUGGCCGAAGUCCGAGGAGACUGCCGGGCUUGGGACUGGGUGAGGUCAGAGGUACUUCAGGGGUAGGGGUAAAAUCCUGUAAUCCUUGAAGGACCACCAGUGGCGAAGGCGUCUGACUAGAACGGAUCCGACGGUAAGGGACGAAGCCCUGGGGCACAAACGGGAUUAGAUACCCCGGUAGUCCAGGGUGUAAACGCUGUGGGCUUGGUGGUUGGGAGUCCUACGAGGGCGCCCAAUGCCGGAGAAGAAGUUGUUAAGCCUACUGCCUGGGGAGUACGCUCGCAAGAGUGAAACUUAA
rnacentral:rRNA from 1 species